UUUUUUUUCAGAUCAUUUUGACACCUGAUGCAAAAUCUUACAGCUAUCGAUGCUGUAUAUCUGUCUUGCUGCAAAAGUCUUCAUGUGCCAUAGUGCUGCGUUGUUUGUGAAGCAUGUUACUCACAUUUGUGGAGGCUCACAGGAAGUUGAAGCAUCUUUGGUUUCCGGGGUUUCCUUUGGUUGAUUUGCCAUCAGCUGUUUGUCUGGAGUCCACCUUAACAGAGAAAAAAAGAGAAGUGUUCUUAAUGUCACAGCAGAAAUUAUUCCUUUUUGGAAAGGCCGUCAAUAUCAGUUCGCUACCUUACUGCUGCCUCCCAAUCUGCAACGACAAAAUAGACAAGGCAGUCCAAGAGGCUCUUGGAGAAGGAGCCUGUACCAAGAGAUCUGUGGUGUUGAUAUGAACCUGACACCAGAAACAAGCAGAAGUGGAAGUCUUUCAAGUUGGCCCUUUGUGCAAUGGUAGAACUCUAAAGAAAUCUUUCUGUUCUGUUUUUGAGGCCCCAUCGACAGGACAGAGCACCACUUGCCAGGUACGCUGGGAGCAACAGUUACUGUGUCGUUUAUGAAGGAACCUGAGGGCAUACUUUGACUGUGGGACUUUAAAUAGAACAGCAGUGCCAGCUCUAUCAUCUUUUAUGUUAGAAAAUACGGUUUACUGUACUCUAAUAGGUCAUGAUAGGAAUAAUGUCUACCUUAUAAACUAUAAUAACUAAAAUACUGUAAAAGCAUUGAGAUAAGAACAGGACCUCUGUCACAUGGGAAUGUUAAAGUAUGGCUAUAAAUAUGGAUCUUUUUAUUGUAUUCAUAUUGUGUCUUUUUAAUUGUUAGCGUUUUUCAGUCCUAUUUUUCCUAUAUUCUCCUCCAUAACCCAGAUGCAACUGAGGAUCAAAUACUGACAAAUAUGGAAUAAAACAGGAGACUGCAUGUUUAAUCGAGCUAUGUUUUGACAUAUAUAACGAGGGUAAGCCAUAUCAUAAUUUUUGGGAAUAUAAUCUAUGGGACCCCUCUGAUCCAGAGAACUUCCAGAGAAGGAAUUGAGGUCCUUCAAGCCUGCACA